GACAGAGGUGCCGAGCGUUAGGCGGAAUCACUGGGCUUAAAGCGUGUGUAGGCGGGUCCGUAAGUACCUUGUGAAAUCCCACGGCUCAACCGUGGAACUGCUCGGUAUACUGCGGGCCUUGAGCCAGCUAGGGGCAACCGGAACAAACGGUGGAGCGGUGAAAUGCGUAGAUAUCGGAAGGAACAUCAGUGGCGAAAGCGACCUCCUGGACCAAUAUUGACACUCAAGUGCGAAAGCGUGGGGAGCAAACAGG
rnacentral:rRNA from 1 species